AACUAACGCUGGCGGCGUGCCUAACACAUGCAAGUCGUACGAGAAAGCCGGCUUCGGCUGGUGAGUAAAGUGGCGCACGGGUGAGUAACGCGUGGAUAAUCUGCCCUUAAGUGUGGAAUAACGUACCGAAAGGUGCGCUAAUACCGCAUAAUGCCUGGCAACACAAGUUGUCCGGCCAAAGAAGGCCUCUGUUUACAAGCUUUCGCUUCAGGAUGAGUCCGCGUACCAUUAGCUUGUUGGUGGGGUAAUGGCCUACCAAGGCUGCGAUGGUUAGCUGGUCUGAGAGGAUGAUCAGCCACACUGGAACUGAGACACGGUCCAGACUCCUACGGGAGGCAGCAGUGAGGAAUAUUGCGCAAUGGGGGCAACCCUGACGCAGCAACGCCGCGUGAGUGAGGAAGGUUUUCGGACCGUAAAGCUCUGUCGAGUGGGAAGAAGUGUAUCAUGGCUAAUAUCCGUGAUAUUUGACGGUACCGCUAGAGGAAGCACC
rnacentral:rRNA from 1 species